GGGAGAUAACUGGUUCUUAAAAAACUUUCGUCUCAUCUCAUUUCAGUCACUCUGCCCUGCCCCAGUUCCAGAGGUGACUAGUGCUGUCUGUUCCUGGACCUUUGCAGUCUCUGCUGGUUGGUUCCUAACUUUUCUGACUCCUGGUUUAGGAUUCUGACCUCUUUGUUGUGCUAGUUCUGUUACCACUGCUCCAUCUGUUUUCCAUCUUCACAAAUCUUAUUGCUGCUACCCCUUCACCUGUUCUCCUAGUCCUGGUGGGUUUAUGUCUUUUAAAUGGUCACCUGGCCUCACAUAGUGAGGUUUCAGGGUGACCAAUAUUAGAUACGGUGUGUUCAAUUUUCCAUUGUUACUUGGAAGUCCUAUGUUAUAUUUUGGUUGAUUUCCUAAAAUCUUUUUUUCCAGUUCACUCAUUCUAUACUUGUGUCACUUUAUUUUCUACUUUUCCAUUGAGCUAUUUUUAGGAGUUCUAUUUUGUCCUUUUUUCAAGUCUGCUCUUUUCUUUUUCUUUGUUAUUUACUCCUAUUCUUUCAUUAUGGCUUUUAGUCUUACUUUUAUCAUUUUAAUAAUUUGAAGAAGUCUUAUUUUGUUGUCCAUUUCAGAUUACAGUAUUUUCCCAGCUCUUAGAUUUUAGUCUAAAAAAAAAAAAAAUCUCUUUAUGACUGUCCAUCAUGGUAGUUAACUCCUUUAUAUGGUAUGUGUGUGUUUGUGUUUUGGCAAGUUCAUCUUCACAGAGAUUUAUUUCCAGUGGGAAUCUUGUGAAUCCUGAGUUAUGAAAUUGUCCCUAUGCAGUGGUCAUAUGUUUGUUUCUUUUGGUGAUUGAAGGAGUUUCAGUGGUCCUGAAAAUGUAUUUAUAUUCACUGCUUGUCUCACACCCAGACACACCAAUAAUGUAAAUUCUGAUCCUACAAUUGAAUGGGAUUCAUGUUUAGGGUUUUCCUUUCUCAGAAGUGUCCAAGCUCUGCAUUUAAAACAGUUAUCUUCUUUGGAGUUCCUGUCGUGGCGCAGUGGAAACGAAUCUGACUGGGAACUGUGAGGUUUCGGGUUCAAUCCCUAGCCUUGCUUAGUGGGUUAAGGAUCUGGUAUUGCCAUGAGCUGUGGUGUAGGUCACAGACGUGGCUCGGAUCUUGCAUUGCUCUGCUGGCCUACGCCACAGCCACAGCAACGCAAGAUCCAAGCUGCUUCUGUGAUCUACACCACAGCUCACGGCAACAUCUUAACCCGCAUGAGUGAGGCCAGGGAUCGAACCUGCGUCCUCAUGGAUGCAAGUCAGAUUCGUUAACCGCUUAGCCACAACGGGAACUCCUCAAUUUUGUUUUCUUUUUUGAUUUUAAUUUUUCCAAAGAGUAAUGCAUUUUCCCCUCUCCUUUCUUCAUUUUCUUUUCUUUUCUUUUCUUAAGACCCAAUUCAGGUUCCAUGAUCUCUCAGAAAUCUCCCCUGAAGUCUGCAGCCCAUCAAGGGUUUUUUCCUUCUCUAACUGCUUUUGACAUUGUCAUUUGAAUCACCUAAUUGGCCCCCUAUUAUAAAUCUGUCUGACCCUGUUUAAUGAUUGAAUGUGAUGUACUUGGUCUCCUCAACAAAAUUGUAAGUGCUAGUUUGCAGAAACCGUGCUUAGACAUCUUUACCAUUUCCCAAAGUGCUUUUCUUGAUUAAUUGAUGAGUAAACAAUUUAGAGGAAAUAUGUUCCCUGUGAUAGAGCCUGGGCUUGGUGUCAGGAAGCCUGGAUUCUGCCCCUUUUCUCGCCAUCAGUUCCCUGGUGUAUUUGAGCAAACCAUCUUGCCUUGUAUGAGCAGGCCACUGUAAUCUGGCAAUUAGAUUGAGUGGUCAUGUAUCUUAGCUUUCAAACAGGGACAGUUAUGAGAGCAAAAGGGGAAGCACUACGAAUAAUUUUACAGGGACAACGGGUGUAACCUGGGACUCUUCCUGAUGAGCCAGGACAUAUGGUCACCUUAUGUCACAGAUCACCUUGAGCUCUUCAGAAAAUUCUGCACAGAUGCUCUCAAAAUACCAGUCUUGAAAUUAAAAAAAAAAAUUAUCAUCCCUUAUAAGACCUCACGGGUAAUAAAGUGUUUUGUUUUCCCAGACGUUCAUAUUUUCUCAACUACUUUCCUGGCUUUAAAUGCUUAUUAUAACUGAAGUUAAAGAAAUUAUGGGUUUGAGAAUUAAUAUUAUUAAGAGAAAAAUGCCUUUAUUUUCCAUGUCAACACCACUCUCUGUCCUGGAAGAAUUUUCAGAAUUCUGAGCCUUGUUUUCUUGGGUGCUUUUUGAAACAUAAGCUCUUACCUCCAGUAUAACCAGUGAUGGAGGAAAGGUCUGUGAAUGGUUGUUGAUCCCCAAGACUGGGUAUGUCUUCAUGUAAUGGUGUGUUCAGUGGCUUAGCAUAGUAGGUGAGGUAGAUCUUUAAAAAGACACAUUAUAAAUACUAUUGCUCACUAGCUGGCUCAUUUCUGCAGCUCUUGCCAGAAUGCUCUGUACACAGCAGGUGCUUCAUAAAUGUUUGUUGGCUUCAAAUUCCAAGGAACACUUGGAAGACAGUGGUGGCUAGUAAAUUCAUUUACCAGUGCUGGUCGCUUCACUCCUGAUGGUGCUUAGGGAGUACUCUGUGAUGGGGGCACGGUGUUGGAAUGCAAAGACAAACAGAUACUAUCUCUUCCCUCUGGGAUUUUAUGAUCUAGAGACAGUCUUAGAGCUGUAAACAACACAGUCUAAGAAAGUUCAAGGAAAAAAAAAAAAUCAGUUUUGACCUAGGGGAGUUAGGUGGCAUUUGAGCUAGGGUUUGAAAGGUAGGCUUCUACUCUAGAACAGAGGUGGAUGAAGGCCAUUUCAUACAGUGGCAAUGGCACAAACAAAAACCUGUAAGAGUACAAUUGCUUGGAAUGUAUAAGGAAUCUUGUAUAAGAGGUCUUGUGUGUCUGGAAGAUAAGAUUUAAUAGGUGAGAUGUCCUUUAAUGUCAAACUAGGGAACUCGGGUUAUAUUAUGUAGACAAUGGGAAUCACAGUUUUGGAUUUUUGCAACCAACUCAUGUGGCAGAAUGAUAACCUGGUUGCAGGGAGACCAGUAAUGCAGAGGCUUUGGUGUCUAGGGGAGAUAGAAGGUAGCCAGAUAUGAGAUACAGAAUUAGCAUGUAGAGUUUAGGAGGAGAUAAGACCCGAACAUGACACCAAAGGGAUGAGAAGAUGGUGACGCCAUGAUGAGACCAUGGAAAGUUGGAGAAGAGCAGAACUGGAUUGUUAGGGAGCUCUUGAACUCUAGGGAGCUUUGUGAGACUAUGUGAAAUAGUGCAUAAAAAACCUUAACUGAUUCUUUGAAUGAAGUAGAUGUUUGAUAAAUACUACAUUGAAGGAAGAAGGGAAGGAAGAAAAGAAUGGGAAGAAAGGGGUCUUUCUCUCUGUGCAUGAGGCCAAAACAGGGAGGAUAGUUAGGGGUUUAGGAGAUCCAAUGGGAAUCAUGCACUGGGCUCUUCCUGUCAAGAACUUGCCAACUACUUAUGAAUUGAGUGCACAAACCAGGAGAGGACUCAGAAAGAAUGAAUGACCCAAGUUUGUUGGGGUCAGAUAGGGAGAAGUAGGCUUUGAGCCAGACUUGGAAGAAGUGAGAGAUGUAGGGUGAUGGAGGGUCCACAAUGAGCCAGAGAGGGUAGCCUCUCAGGAGGCAGGAAGGGAACACACCACCCACAUGGAGAAUGGGAAGGAUGCUGAUUAGCAUCAGAGGUAGUUUCUGCAAGUAGAGAAAUGUCAUGGGUGAGCGAUGGGGGCGAGGGGGUCAUCUGGAGGAGGCUAGAAUGUUGCUCACUUUCUGACAAGCCUACCCUGAAACUGUCUUGGAGAACCCUGUUUCUGUGUGACAACCAGCCCAAUGCCUCCCCAGUUUUCUCUGACCAUUUGGAGUAAUAGCAGGGCAGUCCUUUGUGUGAUCAGAAACCAAGUCACAUAGACUUUUCCUGAUGAGCCAUUUCAAGAUCACUCUCCCUAAAUCCUUUUAUUGGAAGUACUGGUCAGUGCUUUGUCUUGCAAAAAUGCCUUUUGGUUUCUUUCCCUUUGUCUUUGAUUAUUGGAUAAACAUUUUAGUUUCAUGAUUACAUAGUGUUUAGAUGGGGCAAUUCAUAAAUCGGCAUUACUAAAAUUGUUUGCCUUCAUUUACAUUAUAUCAGUCAUAUUACAUCUGCUUCAGGAAUGCCAGAAAACAUAAACAUGGCUUAUUUUGUAAACUACCUCAAUUGGAGCAUCUGAGAGAGAGAGAAGGCGUAAAAUGUGGGAGUUGGCAUGCUGUCUCCCCUUGAGUAGGAGAAUCUUGAAGCCAGGAAGUUCUCUGGAAGCCUUCUACUACCACCUUCUUAAACCCGGUGCCUCCCAUCCUCUUCCUGAAUUCUUCUAAGGAAGGAGAGUUCUCAGAAUGUGCCAACUUUUAGAGAAAGGCAAACCACAACCGAAUAAAACGUUAACAUUAAUUUCUCUUAACACUAAUCUGAAACUUGUUCAGGUGGCUACAGUAUAAAAUGGAUGAAAGCCAGGAGUGACCUGGGGAUACUGUCAUUUGAUCUACAAAAUCCUAGUGUUUGCUGGAUGCAGUGCUUAUCAGUGAGGUGUGUCUUUUUUUUUUUUUUUUUUUUUUUUUUUUUGUGGAGGAGAGCUUUUCACAUCUUCUUAUCACAUAAGUUGUCUUCAUCUUCUAUGGUUUCUACACUUUGGUCUUUUCCCUUGGAUAUUGUAUCUUUCCCAGACAUGGCUUCCAAGAUGUGGCUGCAUUUAGGGAUGCAAUAUUAACAGUGGGUUGGUCUCUGUAAUUUUGGACGAAAUCACCUGUGUUUUUGCAGGCAUCCGUAUAAAGUUUACAAAAGGACCCUGAGACUUAGCUGUUCUUCUGCAUCAGUGUUUCACUUAUUCAUCCCUUCCUGUAGAAAAAUCUGACGCCCACUGUGUUCCUUUCCAUUUCCACCAUUUACUCUUCAUUUGGGGCCAUUAUCAAUGCUCACUGAUACUAUUACUUCAAAAAUGGGUUUUAAUCUCUGUCUCUGGGGGCCAUGACAUAAUAUCCCCAAACAUCACCUUGAUCCUUACUCCCUCCUCCUUAAAACCUUCAUGGCAUAAUUUUCAAAAUAAUGUAUUUUUUUGUUCUGAUUACAAAAGCAAGAUAUAUGUGUUUUUUUUUUUUUGUUUUUUGGUUUCUUUUUUGGGUUUUUUUGCAGAAAAUUUUAAAAAUAGAGAAAAGCGAAAAGUAACGAAAACAUCACUUGUAAUCCACCACCAAAACAAUAGCCUAUUGUUAAUAGGUGGUACACAUCCUAUAAGUUGUUCUUUUGUCUUUUCUAGCACUGAGAGCCUUCCUGGUCUGGUCCCAGCUUGACAUUACAAUCUUCUCUCUCUAGUUCCUUCCUCUCUGGGGACCUGUAUUACCUUGCAUAGAACUUUUCAUAUUCCUCCCACCCCAGUGAUUUUUUUCUGACUGUAUAAACAAUACAUAUUGUUCUAAAUAUUUUAAAAAUACAUUUAAGAAAUAAAAAUUUCAUUUGAAAACAUCUUAGACCCUGAAAUAAAAACCACUGACGUUUUGCAGACUACCUCAUCAUCAGCUGUUUAUAGAUGUGUGCCUAAGCUCACACACAUGAUUUCCUAUAAGUGAGAUCGUGGCAUCCAUGUGGUUUUUAUGGUUGAUAUCUUCUUUCAUUUUCGUUUAUUUCUUUCCUCCCACUCCCUUCCUUCCCUCCACCCUAAUCCCUCUCCCCCUUGCUGCCAAUGUUAUUGGUCUUGUGUGUUAUCCUUCUGUGCUUCAUUCCACACUCAUAUAAUUAUACCAGACAUUUAGAUAGAUAGGUAGAUACUAUGUACGUGAAUUCUGUCAUUGCUUUAGAAAAAUCAGACCAUAUCAUACGUCCCUCUCGGCAUCUUGUGUCUUUUUCACUUCACAAUGAAAAGAGAACUUCACGUUGUUGAAACUCCUCCAUGCUUUCUUUUUCACGACUGCAGAGUGUUUCUUGGUUGACCUUAGCACCAUCUAUUGAAUGAUUCUACUACUUACUGCUGUGGUGAGUUUUGAAUUUGGAUAGAUAUUUCCAAAUAGAUAUUACCAGCAGUGUAAAAGUACCUUUUGUGUGUCCUUUCAUGUGGCUAUGACAUUGUCACUACCAAGGAGCCUCUAAAUUUCAGGGGAUGAUGGGGAGGCAGGGUCCCUUUGAAGUCCCAAACUUCAGGACAAACACAGGGCCAUAAGAAGACCAUCACUGUAAUAUAUAUCAGAGAAUUCAUUAAAUGGAGAUGGUAGUUUACUGGAGUUGGGUUCUGGGGAAGAAAUAUUUAUAGAAAUGAAUCUCAAGUCCUAAAGUGUUCCUUUAUUUUAGGAUGACAUUUUUUUUAAACCCAACAACAUUCAGUUAGCAUGGCAGCUAGAAAUUUCCCUCUUGGCUUUAAUUUUUUCUUUACAGUUUUUGUCAGAACUCAAAAGGUUAAAUACACCACAAACAACUUCUAAACCUUUGAAUCAACCUUGAAAAAUACACAGAUGGAUGUAUGGCAAGAUUGGCUCUGACUGAGAGUGCCUACUCCAUGGGUUACAUUUCCAGUGCUUUAAAAAUACCUGUUCAUGUGGUGGUCGAAGUCUGCAAACAGAUGGGCGGGUUGGAUCCUAACAGACCAUCUCCUGCAGUGGGAUGUUGGCUGCACCUCCUCUCCUCCAAGAUGGCAGCUCAGCCCCACUCCCUUUCCUUCCCACCACCUGUCUUCCUCUAAGUCUGUACUGUCUUUCUACCCUCAUCCUGCCACUACUUCGGUUGUCUUUCUUGCUUUCCUUCUUCUUCUUUUCUCUCCCUCCCCUCUCCCUUCCAUGUAUCCCAGAUUUCUCAACUUUCCCACAAAGAAGCUUGGCGUCUGCAGCUAGUGCCUGCCAUUGAGAUGGUACCAGGAAGCCCACUCCACCCCUCACAUCAUUUUGGAUGCAACCUGAAGGUCAUUAGCCAGUCUGAGGUAUUUUCAUCCCUAAUUUUUCUGUGGAUAAGCUCUCCACUUGACAGAAAGGCUUCUCCCAGCCUCCUUUUACUGUUUUAUCUGACAUCAUUUUAGGACCUUGAGUCCCUGAGGGCCUAAGGCAUCCCUGUACUUGGAGGUAGAAAGAGAUUCUAUCUCCAGGAGAACUCAGAGCAACCUUUUCUGCAAAAGACUCUGGGCCCCUGGUGUCCCACCAAGAAAAGAACCUCUGGAUUGUUAAAGGUUAUUGGAGUUGCAUGGGGAACGAAUGAGGUAAUCUAGACUCUAGUUCCAUCAUUCUUCAGUAUCGUCUCAGUGUCAGGGAAAGUUAUGAGUAGGAUUCUGGUCUUAACUCUUCACUUCUUAAUUUACUCACCUUUGUGGAUUAGACAGAGCCUAGACAUUAGUUUGAGUGUGUGUGUGUGUGUGUGUGUGUGUGUGUGUGUGGUUUAAUAUGUACAACUUGUCUGAACGCAGUAGCUCUGUGGUUUAUCUUUUACUGAGAACUGCUUUUUUUCUCUCCCUUUUCUAAGAAAAUGCUAGUUUCCUAGACUGAAGUCUUUCUUGUGAGUUUGUCAGCAGAGAGGGGUGUUGUAUGAGGGCCUGUCGGUGAUACUAAGAUCAAACAGUCACCCAAUUUGGGUGACUUUGACACAAAUACUGUUGACUGAAAUGGUAGUGAGCAUGUGAUGCUGGCAUGUGACAUUUGAAUAUUUGCCAAGAAAAGCACCCAGGACACUGCGACCAGCUGCAAGAGUAAGAGAUUUGCCUGUUUUACUGUUUUUACCUGCAUUUUUAUUUGAGAAUCUGAAACCAACCUUUAUAGUUUGGGGCAGGAAAGUAACACAGACAGCCAGCAUAAAUCUGUUUACCUGCUUUUGCCUUUCACUGUGUAAAGAAUUCAGGUCACUUAGUCUUAAUCAAGAGCAGCAUAGGAAUUAGGGGACAUGAUCUUAGCAAGUUCGAAUUUUCUAUAUGUUCUUUCACUCCCUGUUCCUGAAAUUCCUUUCAAGACUUUUUCAUCCUUCUGGUAAAGGUGGUGACCUGCAUUUGCUAAAGCUUGGAAUUCAGACCUAAGAUACCUGGGCCCCAGUUGUGGCUUGUUGCUGCUUAUCACUAUGAGACUCACUCUCUAGCCUUGGUUUUCUAAUCUUUAAUAUGGGACACCCUACUUCAUGUGGCCAUUGAAAACAUCAUAACUUCGUUCCCUGCCCUCCUUUCCUUUGAAGAAACUCAGAAUUUCCAAAACUGUGAAAUGCAGUAUUUUUAGGGCCCACUUAGAAUUUUCCUGUAAGAAGAGAGGACAACGAGAAAUGCAGUCUUCUACUGUUAUAGCAUUUAACCACCACCAACAACCCUUUCCCCCCACCCCUGGAAACUGGUUGCAUUCUGAUAAAACCUGUGCAGGGACUAGGCAAUUGUAGAUAGUGUGUCCCCUGAUUUUCAUGAGUUAAGAGCUUCCCUCUGGCACUUCUGUAGAAAGGCCUUCACAGAAUGUAGUUCUACUGUGCUGGCAGUUGUGUCAUUAGCCAGGGAGAGUCAGAGAUUGCAGCCAAGUUAGAGUAAUGCCAAAUGCUAUACCUGUCAGUAACAUCUGUCAUGCUCAAGUGCCUAUUUAGUCUAAAGAACUAAAAUCAGGCUGCACUCCCUAAAAUAAAAUGUAGACAACAAGUGGGUACCCAAACUACAGCAUCUGCCAGAGCGAAUGUUAGCAAAGGAUUAAAGUGACCGCUUGAAAUAUAUAGGUGGCUUAAAACCAGAAAUAAAGGAUGCCACCCACAGGGACUCCUGUGGGCUCAGACAACCAGGAGAAGGAAGUUCCCAUUGUGGCUCAGUGGUAAUGAACCCGACCAGUAUCCAUGAGGACGUGGGUUCAAUCCCUGGCCUCGCUCAGUGGGUCAGGGAUCCGGCAUUGCCAUGAGCUGUGGCGUAGGUCGCAGACGUGGUUCGGAUCCUGUGUUACUGUGGCUAUGGUGUAGGCCGGCAGCUAUAGCUCUAAUUUAACCCCUAAUCUGGGAACUUCCAUAUGCAGAGGGUGCAGCCCUAAAAAACAAAAACAAAACAAACAAACAAAAAACGAAAGAAA
rnacentral:lncRNA from 1 species